UAGGUGUUAUUUUCGCACCGAUCAAAUGGCCGUCGUCACCCAAAGGAAAAAAACCCCACUAGAAGCAACAAUCGAAGCCCUCUUCGGAGCGAGGAAGAAUAUUUCUUCCUCUGCGCGUUUAAUCCCCAAAAUUUUCUUCCGCUGAGGGUAGAGAACAAGCCCCACUCGAAUGGCCCUCAUCACCCAAAGGAAAAAAUCCCACUAGAAGCAACAUUCGAAGCCCACUUUUUCACUCGAAGCCCUCUUUUUUCACUCGACGCCCUGAGAAGAAUUCUUCCCUCAUUGCGCAACAGUCCCGAAUUCGAACUUUAAGGUUUAGAUUUUUAGAAGAAUUCCUUUCUCUGUACAAGAAGCAUAGGUUUCUUCUGGUGAAAUUAGCCCGAUACAGAUUUGUGUACAUUUGCUACAAUCCUCAAUCAAAUCAAGAAGAGGUAUGGAAUAGCUAUUACUACACCAACUUGCAAGAGAGAAUUAGGGGCGCAACUAAUUGACAGCUAAGACGUACCGACUAUCACCGGUGGCUGUGACACUGUUCAGUGGCAAUGAUGCAAUUAAGGUGGUAUAAUUGUGGUGAAGGAGACAUUUUAUGAGCAAAAAAGGAUUUUAAAGAUCCCAAAAAAUGGUUGAUUUCUAGUGCCUCAACGACAAGAUAACAUCAAGGGAUUGCAGGGAAACAUUUUAGCAUCUACAAAGUAAUACGUCAAUGAACAGUGCUGUAGACCGGGUUUUUUUUAGUUAUGAAAAAUUACACAUUUAACCACCAAAUUAUAGGCUGUCACAAAAUGGCCCCCAAACUUAAUUUUGUAAUAUAUGUUCACCACGAAUUUGUGAAUUAUUGCAAAUUCUCCCCUAUGUUAAGUUUUCAGCAUAAAAUAACAUGUGGCGUGCUUUUUUGGGAGGAGUUUAGUAUUGAAUGUGCAAUUACAA